rnacentral:rRNA from 1 species
ACUCCCCAGGCGGGGUACUUAUUGCGUUAACUCCGGCACAGAAGGGGUCGAUACCUCCUACACCUAGUACCCAUCGUUUACGGCCAGGAUUACCGGGGUAUCUAAUCCUGUUCACUCCCCUGGCUUUCGCGCCUCAGCGUCAGACACAGUCCAGAAAGUCGCCUUCGCCACUGGUGUUCCUCCUAAUAUCUACGCAUUUCACCGCUACACUAGGAAUUCCACUUUCCUCUCCUGCACUCAAGAAAUGUAGUUUCCAUCCCAUCACGGGGUUGAGCCCCGAACUUUUAAGACAGACUUACAUUCCCGCCUGCGCGCGCUUUACGCCCAAUAAUUCCGGACAACGCUUGCCACCUACGUAUUACCGCGGCUGCUGGCACGUAGUUAGCCGUGGCUUCCUCCUCAGGUACCGUCAUUACUUAACAUUAUUCACAUUAAGCACAUUCGUCCCUGAAGACAGAGCUUUACGAUCCGAAAACCUUCUUCACUCACGCGGCGUUGCUCCGUCAGACUUUCGU